rnacentral:lncRNA from 1 species
UUGCUCACCGGGGCAGUCACCAGUGAGAUGACGACGUUGACUGUGGAGGAUGUGCAGCGGGUGAACGGCAGCCGCCGGUUCGCCGCCGCGCUGGCCGCCGCCUCCCCCUUCAGCUCUCUCACCGACGCGCUACUCGCCGCCCGCCGCAUCUGGGGCAACGAUGCACGUACUUACAUCUUCCCUUCUUCACGUCUGAAUUCCCUUCUUCGCAUCUGGCGUAACUAAAGUUGUAUGCCCUCACACCGGGGUGCAGUUGCUCGUUCGUGGACCGUGCGCAACUGCAGUUGCAUGCUCCAUCAAUCGUGCGCAACUAUCUUUACAUUUUUGUAAAUGAAAUGCAAUCAAAAAGUCUAUUAUUAGCCCAUCUUUCUUGUGUCAUGUGGUAUCCUGAUCCAUGGAAUACCACGGUUCAAGUACUAAUAAUGGAACAACGGCUGUUUUCUCAAUGACAAUAAUGACCUUCCUCGGUUUUUACAAGUUUUGUGUUGAAACAAAAUUCUCUUCCUUUGGCUUUUGACAUCAUUGGGAUUAUUAAAUAUUUUGAGUUUAGCCCUGAUCUGGCGCAUUGCGCUCUCUAUGAUUUGAUCACAAAAUCAUAUUACUAGAAAGCUUUGAUAUCAUGAUUUCCUUUCUAUCUCUGUAAAUAAAUGUUCUCAAUUGAGUCUUACUAUUUUUUCUCUCUUUCUAGAGGCGUUAUGCAAAUAGGUUGAUUGUUGAGCUUGAGAUUGCGGCAGAGGAAGAACUCAAGAUAACUGAGUUGCGCCUUGCAAAGCUUUUCUCGUCAGAUUCUGCUGCUCCACCGACUUCAGUUUUUGGCCAACCGGAUAAAACAUCAGGUAUUGAAUAAAUUAUAUAUGUUGACACUUUUUGUAGCCAAAUAAACAUCUCCUUUUCCUCUCCACUAGUUUGUGCCUUUUUUUCCUAUGUAUCGUAUAAUCGAAGCUUCAAAGAUAUUGUUCUCACAUGCUGAUCUUGUUUUCGUUAAAAUGAUAGUCAUAUAAACUGUUUCGGUCCCAUCUAGUCCUCAAAUUGCCUAAAUUUACUCCGCGCUCCAGGAAAUCUAGUUCCACACGGCAAAUCCUGAUUGCAUAAUAUGUUUGGCAACUGGCUCCACUUCACUCUAUACAUUGGUGUGCCAACAUCCUGAUUACACAAUAAGCUCAUCCUAACUCACUUGUUUUGUCAAGGAACAAUUCACAAAAUGAAUGCAAACAAAAGUUAUCACAAAAAUAAUUUUGGAGUGAAAUAAAAUUUCACACAGAAUCAAAAUUUAUCACAGGUUCAAAUAUCACACACAAGAAAAAAUUCUCACAUCAUCGCCACCAAAUGGAAUAUUGAUACACAUAGUAAAAUUUAUCAUAGUUUAAAAUUUUACACGCAAGAAAAUUUCUCACUCGGUGCAAAAUGUGCAUUGGAUUGUGAAAAUUGUAUUUUUUUUCAGUUUGACACUUCUUCAUCACUAUGAGGUGUCAACUGCAUUGCUUUAUCUUCUGUAGUGACUUGAGAAGCUAGCUGCAUUAUGACCAAUAGAGGCAAACAAGCCAUGUAUAUAGACCAGUCAAUACCCAAUACCUUAGGCCUGGUUAUUUUAAGAAACAAAAUUAUUGAAAAAUAUAAAAUUUCCUCUAUUUUUACCAAUCCAUGUAGCAUCAAAAUCAGUGAGAAAAUGAGAAUAGCACCUGGAUAAUUUAAGUCCAAAGAAUUGUAAUAGUGUCCAAAGAACUUGCUUAAGGAAAUUAAUAACCCAGAUGAUAGUGGCAUUAUCAAAUUUAAACAACUGCAGGCACCUCACCUCAAACAUGUAGGUUACUGAAUUAAAUCAAUUAGAAUGGCACCACAUAAGUAAUGAGCAAUCAGGAUAUGUUGCCAUGAGUAUGAGGUACAACACCUGGAGAAGGGUAAUAUGAGUCGAAACCUUAUACCUGGUGAAACACCAAGGAAGUGUGAUCGGUUACGGACCUGCAUAAAGGAUAAACACUAGUUGUUGGUAAAAUAACACACAUAUGGAGAGUAUAAUGAAAUGUUGCUUGCCACUCCCCGGUCUGGGAAAGGUAUGCGAUCGCAGCGGGAAAAUAACCAUCGGAGGUUCUAACAACCAUGAGACCUUAUGAAUGUAGAUUUUGAAUAAAACUUGAGUUCUACAAGAUAUAUGAUAAAUGCAUAUACAUUGUGGUUGUUGGUCUUAGUAAUAGCAGUGCAUACACCACUUAUUUGCUAUAGUGGACUUGUUGAGUACUCAUGUACUCAACCCUACAUAAAUUAUCUUCCUUGAAAACAGGAGUUGUUGGAAGUGAUGCCAAAAGACACCGAGACAAUUGGGGAGUAUGUUUAUGAAGAGCCAGAUCUAUCAGGUGGAGUCGGAGGGAUUGACUACAUCAUUGCCUAUGGAGACGAAAACAAAUAAGAAGGGCACGGCUAGCAAGCGUCCCAAUGAGUAGUGGUGGUUGCAGUAGUGCCAAGCACAGUUAAAAUAAACAAUCAUAGCAUUAUCAUGAUACCUUGUUAUGUACCAUUAGUUUGUUAAGUAUGAAUUGCGAGAAUUUCAUGGUAUGAAGUAACAAGUUUAUAUUUGGACCCGCUAUGUAUCUAUUGUUCUACUUCGAGGGAUAUAAGGUCCACGAGAUGGUGUCUCAUGGGCAUUAUAUCGAAGAAUGACACACGAAACUAUGUGUUGGUGUGUUGGGUCGUCGCAUUUUGUUCCCAGCUGCAAAUUUUAGUGUUGUGGGUGUAGUUAACUCUAUGGUCCAUGCUUGCUGCCGCUAGGCUCAUAUGUCAAUUAGCAAUUAUAGCAAAGACCAUAACUUUUGCUAAUAUCAU